rnacentral:rRNA from 1 species
AUUGAACGCUGGCGGCAUGCCUUACACAUGCAAGUCGAACGGUAACGGGCCUUCGGGUGCCGACGAGUGGCGAACGGGUGAGUAAUGCAUCGGAACGUACCUUUCAGUGGGGGAUAACGUAGCGAAAGUUACGCUAAUACCGCAUAUUCUGUGAGCAGGAAAGCAGGGGAUCGCAAGACCUUGCGCUGAUUGAGCGGCCGAUGUCAGAUUAGCUAGUUGGUGAGGUAAAGGCUCACCAAGGCGACGAUCUGUAGCGGGUCUGAGAGGAUGAUCGCCACACUGGAACUGAGACACGGUCCAGACUCCUACGGGAGGCAGCAGUGGGGAAUUUUGGACAAUGGGGGCAACCCUGAUCCAGCCAUGCCGCGUGAGUGAAGAAGG